rnacentral:rRNA from 1 species
GAACGAGAAAGGGGCUUCGGUCCUGAGUAAAGUGGCGCACGGGUGAGUAACACGUGGGUAACCUGCCUCUAAGAUUGGGAUAACUCGUCGAAAGAUGAGCUAAUACCGGAUAAGACCGCAGUUCCUGCGGGGACAGGGGUCAAAGGUAGCCUAUGCUUGCAAGCUAUCACUUAGAGAUGGGCCUGCGUACCAUUAGCUAGUUGGUGAGGUAACGGCUCACCAAGGCAAAGAUGGUUAGCUGGUAUGAGAGGAUGAUCAGCCACACUGGAACUGAGACACGGUCCAGACUCCUACGGGAGGCAGCAGUGGGGAAUAUUGCGCAAUGGGCGAAAGCCUGACGCAGCAACGCCGCGUGAGUGAUGAAGGCCCUCGGGUAGUAAAGCUACUGUCGGAGGGAACGAAUGCUACCUGAGGUUAACAGCCUCAGGAAGUGACGGUACCCUCAAAGGAAGCACCGGCUAACUAUGUG